rnacentral:tRNA from 1 species
AAUUAAUUAGCUUAAAAUAAAGCAUUUGUUUUGAAAACUUAAUAUAGGGAGUCCUAUUAAUUU